rnacentral:rRNA from 1 species
UACGAAGGGGGCUAGCGUUGUUCGGAAUUACUGGGCGUAAAGCGCACGUAGGCGGGUUGUUAAGUCAGAGGUGAAAUCCCAAGGCUCAACCUUGGAACUGCCUUUGAUACUGGGGAUCUCGAGUCCGGGAGAGGUGAGUGGAACUGCGAGUGUAGAGGUGAAAUUCGUAGAUAUUCGCAAGAACACCAGUGGCGAAGGCGGCUCACUGGCCCGGUACUGACGCUGAGGAGCGAAAGCGUGGGGAGCAAACAGG